AUGAACGCUGGCGGCGUGCCUCAUCCAUGCAAGUCGAGCGAACAGACGAGGAGCUUGCUCCUCUGACGUUAGCGGCGGACGGGUGAGUAACACGUGGAUAACCUACCUAUAAGACUGGGAUAACUUCGGGAAACCGGAGCUAAUACCGGAUAAUAUAUUGAACCGCAUGGUUCAAUAGUGAAAGACGGUUUUGCUGUCACUUAUAGAUGGAUCCGCGCCGCAUUAGCUAGUUGGUAAGGUAACGGCUUACCAAGGCAACGAUGCGUAGCCGACCUGAGAGGGUGAUCGGCCACACUGGAACUGGGACACGGUCCAGACUCCUACGGGAGGCAGCAGUAGGGAAUCUUCCGCAAUGGGCGAAAGCCUGACGGAGCAACGCCGCGUGAGUGAUGAAGGUCUUCGGAUCGUAAAACUCUGUUAUUAGGGAAGAACAAAUGUGUAAGUAACUAUGCACGUCUUGACGGUACCUAAUCAGAAAGCCACGGCUAACUACGUG
rnacentral:rRNA from 1 species